GCUUGGCUGGCUCAGUUAGAAGAGUAUAUGACUCUUGAUCUCAGGGUUGUGAGUUCAAGUCUCACGUUGGGUC
rnacentral:tRNA from 1 species